GGCCUGGAGCCAUAUCCAAUCAGCGCGCUGGACUGAGAACCGUCCAAUCAGGGGCGCAGCCGGGGAGGAGGGGCGGCAUCCGGGAUCUAGUGCGGCCUUGGCCUCUUGCUUCAGCCAGAGCUGGGUUAGGGCUUCGCCCUCCUGCUUCCACCCGUCAGGGAGGCUUCGGUGAUUCUGCCACAGCCUCAGCCUCCGUCGCUCUGUGACCAGCGGGUAUUGGAUGAUUCUAGCUAAGACUUCGCGACACCCUUGAAGCCCUGAAAUGAUCCUGUCUAUUCUGGAUGGAAACAUUCCUGUUUUUUAAAUUAAAACAUGAUUUGCCGGGGUCAAGCAUGAAGGCUUCCAGACACUUUAAUGAGGGGUGUUGCUCUCUUUAACUCAGACCUGGUCACCUGUCUGGAACAAAGGAAAGAGCCCUUUAAUGGGAAGACUCAUGAGACAGUAGCCAAAGCCCCAGGUGGGUGAGAGUGAAUGAAGGAGAUGACACAGGCAAGGGGACCAAAGGUGAAGAAGGAAGCCAGGCCUUAAAAUGUAGUUUGAGAAGUUCUUCUCCAAUCAAAAUAAUUUCUGACAAGGCUGCAUUUUCUUCUCAUGUUCACAAAUAGGGGCAUCUUCGGUCCCAUGCUGUUAAAUCUUCUAAGAAUUCUCUUUUUAGUGAUCUCCUUUCAAGAUUACAUGGAGAGACAGUGUCCACUUUAUCACUUAUAAGGGCUGCACGAUCUGACUGCUGUUCCAUUGCUUUUGCAGACAUAGGAAUAUUUGUGUUAUUGAGGAGCCCUAUGUUAAUUUAUUUUUUUCAGACAUUGUUUUAGCAUCAUGUCUAAAAUAACAUAUUUUUUUUCAAAUAUUGAUUUUGUUUCAUGCCUAAAUGUGUAAGGCAAGUAGUGGACAUAUUGGGAUUUGGUUCAGAAAUCCCAGGAACACCAGGGACAGAUGUUGCAGAUUUUCUGCUUACUGAUUUUUAAUCCUAUUAUAAAUGUAAUUCUACAAAAAUUCUUUCCUAGCAAUUUUUUCAGAACAAUAAGCAUUUUCCUUAAAUAUGAAAAAUGUAAUGUUGAUUGUACUUUAAAAUGUUAUUGUUUUAGUAUAAACUAAGAUUUGUAAUUUAAACUCUGUAUGUGUAAAUUUUCAAGUUAUAAUAUAGUUUAAAGCAUGGGUUUCCAACCUUUUGGCUUCCCUGGGCCACAUUAGAAGCAGAAUUGUCUUGGGUCACACAUAAAAUACAUUAACACUAAUGAUACCUGAUGAGCUUUACAAAAAAAAAAGUUCGUGAAUAAUUUUUAUGAUAUCUACCACAACAGAUAAGCAAAAUGUUCUUACAUUCAUAGGGUUGGACACCACUUGAUUAAAGUACCUACUCACCUUCUAGAUUUCUUAAAUGUACUGUCAUAAACCAGCUUAGAACAUUGUUAAGUAUAUAUUAUUCUUUAAUAACUAUUAUCUUACAAUUUUAGUAAGAAGCCUACUGGGAUUCUGUUAUUGAGAUCUAUCUAUAUAUAAAAAUGUGGGUCUCACACAUAUGCACAUCUAUAUAAGUUAUAGAUGUGUAUUGUAAAUUCUCACUUAACAUUGUUGAUAGGUUCAUGGAAACUGUAAAUGAAGCAACAUAUUGUUUAAAAAAACUAAUUUUGGCUGGGCAUGGUGGCUAACACCUGUAAUCCCAGCACUUUGGGAGGCUGAGGUGGGCAAAUCACAAGGUCAGGAGUUCCGGAUCAGCCUGGCCAACAUGGUGAAACCCCAUCUCUACUAAAAAUACAAAAAAUCAGCUGGGCGUAGUGGCAUGCACUAGUAAUCCUAGCUACUCAGGAGGCUGAGGCAGGAGAAUCACUUGAACCCAGGAGGUGGAAUUACCAUAGUUUACUUGAUAGAAACAAGGGUUAUGUUUGAAUGGCAUAUGACAACAUUGUUUUAUUUAACGAUGCAGUUUUCAAGAACCUAUUUUGAACAUUAAGUGAGGACUUACUGUACAUCUGUGUUUGUGUGACAUGGAUUUUUCUGAUACAUAAAAAUGGUAUAACUAUAUAUUUAAUGUGUAGAAUAUAAUGAUUUGAUAUGCAUGUACAUUGUGAAACAAAAUACAGUCAAGUUGAUGAACAUAUCUAUUACCUCAAAUUUUUUUUGUAGUAAGAACACUUAAGAUCUACUGUUGUAUGGCCAGGCGCGGUGGCUCACGCCUGUAAUCCCAGCACUUUGGGAGGCCGAGACGGGCGGAUCACAAAGUCAGGAGAUCGCGACCAUCCUGGCUAACACGGUGAAACCCCGUCUCUACUAAAAAAUACAACAAAAACUAGCCGGGCGUGGUGGCGGGCGCCUGUAGUCCCAGCUACUCGGGAGGCUGAGGCAGGAGAAUGGCGUAAACCCGGGAGGCGGAGCUUGCAGUGAGCUGAGAUCCAGCCACUGCACCCCAGCCUGGGCGACAGAGCAAGACUCCGUCUCAAAAAAAAAAAAAAAAAAAAAGAUCUACUGUUGUAGGCCGGACACAGUGGCUCACGCCUGUAAUCCUACUACUUUGGGAGGCUGAGGUGGGUGGAUCAUGAGGUCAGAAGUUCAAGACCAGCCUGGCCAACAUGGUGAAACCUGUCUCUAUUAAAAAUACAAAAAUUAGCCGGGUGUGGUGACAUGUACCUGUAAUCCUAGCUACUCAGGAGGCUGAGGCAGGAGAAUUGCUUGAACCUGGCAGGCAGAGGUUGCAGUGAGCUGAGAUCAUGCCACUGCACCUCCAGCCAGGGCAACAGAGUGAGACUCCAUCUCAGGAAAGAAAAAAAAAAAAAAGCAAAUUCUAAGCAUACAUUACAGUAUUACUAACUAAAGACAAUGCUAUUUGGCUAAUCUAAUGCUAAUUUACAUUAGAUUUCUCAGACUUACUUAACUUAUAACUAAAAAUUUAUACUCUUUGAACAACAUCUCCUCAUAUUCCACCCUCAGACACUAACAGCCACCAUUCUACACUCUGUUUCCAUGAGUUGAUUUUUUCGAUUUCUCAUCUACCUUAAAACAAGCGGUUUCUUUGUCUUUCUGUGUUUGGCUUAUUUCAUUUAGCAUAAUGUCCUCCAGGUCUGUCCAUGUUGUCAAUGGCUAGAUUUCCUUCUGUUAUGGCUAAAUAAUAUUCUACUCUGUAUAUACACACACACCAUAUUUUGGCUAUUGUAAACAAUACUACAGUGAACAUAGGGCUGAAGAUAUUUCUUCAAGAUACAAAUUUUAUUUCCUUUGGUAGGAUGCCCAGAAGUGGUAUUGCUGGAUUAUAUGAUAUUUCUAUUUUUAUUUUUUACUGGUUUUUAUGAUGACUUUAUUUAUUUACAUCUCACCAACAGCAUACAGAUUUCCCUUGUAUGUAUGUCUUCAGUGGGAAAAAAAGUAACCUUUUGUCUAUUUUUGAAUGGGUUAUUAUUGUUUUGCUUUGAAUUCUAGAAGUUUUUUAUAUGUUUUGGUUAUUAACGUCUUGUUAGAUAUAUGGCUUGCAAAUAUUUUCCUGUGUUGUAGUGUUUAAAAAUUUUUUUUCUUUGCUGUGCAGAAGCUGUUGGAUUUGAUGCAGUCCCACUUGUUUGUAUUAUUUGUUGCUGUGCUUUCGACGUCAUAUCAAAACAGUUAAUGCCAAGACCAAUAUCAACAAAGACUAUUUAAUCAGCAGGCAGAUCAACCAGCCAAAAUUUCCACCACAACUGAAAACUUGAAUGUGAAUGAAUGGAUUACAACAUGUUCAAGCCUUGCGGUGAGAGGCAUUAUAAUGUAAUAACCUAUCUACUAACAGUCAGCACCUGUGUCUUUGUGCCUGAGGCCAAGAAUAAGUUCAUCAGCUGGGCAGCCACCACUGUAGAAGAAGCCAACCACAAUCAAUGUUGGCUAUGAGUAGAGUUGCCAGAGGCCACCAGGAAUGAGCUACCUUGGAGAAUCAAUCGUCCCUGCCAACAUUUCCGAAUGGCUCUAUCACUGCCAAUGGGGCCACAACAACAACAACUGCAAUCCAACCUGGACUUCCUCUGACCAAACCAAGCAAUCGAUUUAUGCCCAAGUCAGGUGAAAAGUGAACUCCACCUUCACCUUGCAUCAAACGCCUUGGUAUCCUGACCAACAUGCCUGGAAAGGUAUAUACUGGGAACCCGCUGUGCUGAAGGCUGGAUUCUGUAUAGCACCCCACUCCCCCACUUUGUCUGGAGGCUGUAAAUGGCUCCUCUAAUGUUACUCUGGGUUUCUCCCACCAGAUAAUUGUCAAUAUAUACUCCAAAUCAACAAUAUUGUCCCUAA